UACGAAGGGGGCGAGCGUUGUUCGGAUUUACUGGGCGUAAAGGGCGCGCAGGCGGCUUUGUUUGUCAGGCGUGAAAGCCCCGGGCUUAACCUGGGCAACUGCGUUUGAUACGGCAGGGCUAGAGUUCGGGAGAGGAGAGUGGAAUUCCCAGUGUAGAGGUGAAAUUCGUAGAUAUUGGGAAGAACACCGGUGGCGAAGGCGGCUACUCGUGGACCGAUACUGACGCUGAGGCGCGAAAGCGUGGGGAGCAAACAGG
rnacentral:rRNA from 1 species